rnacentral:rRNA from 1 species
CCUACGGGAGGCAGCAGUGAGGAAUAUUGGUCAAUGGACGAGAGUCUGAACCAGCCAAGUAGCGUGAAGGAUGACUGCCCUAUGGGUUGUAAACUUCUUUUAUAUGGGAAUAAAACGUUCCACGUGUGGGAUUUUGUAUGUACCAUAUGAAUAAGGAUCGGCUAACUCCGCGCCAGCAGCCGCGGUAAUACGGAGGAUCCGAGCGUUAUCCGGAUUUAUUGGGUUUAAAGGGAGCGUAGGUGGAUUGUUAAGUCAGUUGUGAAAGUUUGCGGCUCAACCGUAAAAUUGCAGUUGAAACUGGCAGUCUUGAGUACAGUAGAGGUGGGCGGAAGUCGUGGUGUAGCGGUGAAAUGCUUAGAUAUCACGAAGAACUCCGAUUGCGAAGGCAGUUCACUGGACUGCAACUGACACUGAGGCUCGAAAGUGUGGGUAUCAAACAGGAUUAGAUACCCGAGUAGUC